rnacentral:rRNA from 1 species
GAUAAGAACUCUCCGAAAAAAUUACGCUGUUAUCCCUAAGGUAAGUUAAUCUUAUAAUCAAAAAUUUUGGAUCAAAAAAACAUAAAUUAAUGAAAAAAAUAUUAAAAGUUAAAUAAAUUUUAAUGUCACCCCAACAAAACUUUACAUUCUAAAAAAUAGUUUAAUAAACAAAAAACAAUAAUUAAUAAAUAAAGUAAACUUCUAUAGGGUCUUCUCGUCCUAUAAAAAAAUUUUAGCUUUUUAACUAAAAAAUUAAAUUCAAAAUAAUUAAAAAAAGAAAGUUUAUUUUUCAUCAAACCAUUCAUACUAGCCUUCAAUUAAAAGACAAAUGAUUAUGCUACCUUCGUACAGUUAAAAUACCGCAGCCUUUUAAUUAAAAAAAAUCAAUGGGCAGGCCUGAUCUUAAAUUAAAAUCAAAAGACC